GGGCCCAUGUUCACUUUAUGAACACGUUAAUACCCGAGGGCGAACCUGGAAGGGUCUUGUUUUACGAAUAUCUGUAAUCUAAAUUUAGCACGAGCAAAUAAACAAACCACCGAGGUAAAUAUAGAGAUUUUCGCUUGGCCACUUGACGAUUGGCCAAGAUAUUCAAGAGAGGUUGUGCCCAUUUAACCGAACUGUCUGACUAACUGGCCAAAUACAUGGGCCUCAACAAGACGGGCCCUUUCAAACCGAAUUAUUACAGAUAUUAAACGUGAAAUUGUGACCGUGCAAUUGUAAAC